AAUUGCUGAGGAUAGAAAGAUGGCUAUCGCGCACGAAAGUGUCAAGUGUAGGGUUAUAAACUCGAUGAGAUGUGGGAACAAUUGCCCCACCAGUUAAU
ncrna:unclassified sequences skipping-rope RNA